CAGAUUUCCUCUAAUUUUUUAAGCUACUUAUUACUUUCUGUUGCAAGUAAAAAAUCAUGAAUUUUAAGGCUCAGUGUAUAAGGGUUUGCAUAUAAUUCAGUUCUCGUUUUGUGCUGCAUAUUUAAUUUUUUGAGUAGUCAAAAAAAUUAGCACAAGUUGUAAACUUCACAUUGUCCACUCGUGGUGGCGUGUUAAAAAAUUACUUGAUGUUUUAAACUAAUACUUCUUAUUUCGCAUUCAUAAAAAACAAUGUUGAGAAUAAUCAUGUAUGGUGGUUGUACAAAUGAAAACGGGUCAAUUCAAAAUGCAUUUCAUAUCCGUCUCAUUCUAAAUUUUUCGUUAUUUAGUCGCUUCGAAUUAUUGACUUUGUUUACUGUACGAACUGUUUUCUUUAUUUAGCGCAUAUUGAAGAUAUUUGCAUACUUUUUAGGAACUUUGUUUCUUCCUACAAACUCAAUUCGUUACAGAAAUAACAUUGCUUUGUCUUUCCAAUUAAUAACAAGUCGUAAAUUUGUAAAGGAAUAAAAAUUUUAUUGUUCAUUCUUACUUUUCCAUGUUCCUUUACAUAUCUUCGUGCAAUUACUAAAAGAAUAUUAAAAGUCAAAUUUGAAAAUUUCGCCCUUCAAUUAUGAUGAUGGUGAGAAAUUGGUAGUCAAGAUGCUAAUUAUCAUCUAAUUUAGCGUGAAAAUUACCAGUGAAAAAACAUAAAUUAUUUAUUAUGAGACAAUCAAUAUGCCUAUCGCUUACAAAAUAUACAUUUAAAUACACCGUUGGUUUGAUGAUGAAUCCGAUACCUUAAAAGUAGAAGCAGAUGA